UUAACCUAUGUUACAUGGAAACGGAAGCGGAUACGUGGAAGCGGAAGCGUAAGGAAGCGCAGAAGCGAGAUUUUUUAAAAUAUUAGGAAGCGGCGUGAUUCCAAAACGGAAUCAUAAGCUUCCAACAGGUUUUUAAAUAGAAUAUUUUAGAAACGUUUUGGAAGCGAGAUUCCGCAAGCUUCCACGAGGUUCCGAUUCUGAUUCCGGUUCCGAAGCGGGAAGCGGACGUCCGAUGAAGCUUCCGUGCAACGUAG